AAUACAUCAUAAAUUAUUUAACGUAUUUAAUGAAUGCGAUCAGCAAUAUCAAUUAAGCUUUGAACUAGCGGUAAUAGAAAAUAUCUCUUUAGGUUGAACCCGACCUAUGCAAAUUUGGUGGAACUGGUGAAAACAGUGGAAACAUCUUAAACCAUCCGAAAUUAAAAGAAUAUAGUAUUACAAUAAUUAAUGAUGAACUAUAAUAUUAAAGAAUUAAAAAAAAAGGUAAACAAAAAAAUGAAAAUAAGAAAAAAAUAAACAAAACAUAAGCAAAACGUAAUUAAAAAAAUAGCAAACAAAUGAAGAAAAAUAAUUAUAAGUUCAAAUUCAAGAUCUUAAAAAAAA
rnacentral:sRNA from 1 species